GUGCUCGCUUAGGCAGCACAUAUACUAAAAUUGUAAUGAUACAGAGAAAAUUAGCAUGGCUCCUGCGAAAGGAUGACACACAAAUGCGUGAAGCAUUCCAUAUUUUU
ensembl:snRNA U6 U6 spliceosomal RNA